UGGUCUUACCCUAUUGCCUCUUACUGUGCUUAACAAUUACCAUCAGACUUCAACAUCUAACAGACUCUUUACUGGACACAUCCCAUUCUCUCAUGCGUUUGUGUGUGUUUAGAUGUUGGUAUUUUAUCGGUUUUUUGGAACAAAAGGUCCAGGUAUUGAACCCUUCGCUCCUGCCUAAGAUUUUUCUAGAUACACCAACCAACUUCAACAGUUUGGGCAGAGUAGAGAUUUACUAGCAAAAGCUUCAUGAAAUUGAAAAGCAAAGCUCUUCCCAUUAUCACUGCGAAAUUAGCUUGGCCUGCAUAUGUUUACUGAUUACUAUACAUGGAGAUCUAGGAAUAAGAUUCUACAUGGAUUUCUUUUCGACAUGUUGUUGAGCAGACGACAUGACACUUUCUUAGAGAAGCGUUCGUUCUUUUAUAGGGAUAGAAACGACUUGUCGUUGUGAAUUUUAAAAAAAUUAAUAAAAC
rnacentral:misc_RNA from 1 species